rfam:Medicago truncatula strain A17 chromosome 5, whole genome shotgun sequence.
AUAGGAUCUAGACCUGGCAUAUCUUCAUACGACCAUGCAAAAAUAUCCGGAUAUUCCCGGAGAAGUUGGAUGAUCUUCUUUUUAACCCCUUCCUCUAAAAUAGCACCGAUCUUGAUUUCUCGCUUGCUCUCCUCGGUACCUAUGUUGAUAAGCUCAAUCUCUUCCUGG